UGCACACAUGACUGUCAGUCGCUUUGGAUAAAAGCAUCUGCAAAGUGACAUAUA
rfam:Salmo salar isolate Sally breed double haploid chromosome ssa09, whole genome shotgun sequence.